UACGGGGGGAGCAAGCGUUGUUCGGAUUUACUGGGCGUAAAGGGCGCGUAGGCGGUCGUGACAAGUCACUUGUGAAAUCUCCGGGCUUAACUCGGAACGGUCAAGUGAUACUGUCGGACUAGAGUACAGAAGGGGCAACUGGAAUUCUCGGUGUAGCGGUGAAAUGCGUAGAUAUCGAGAGGAACACCUGCGGCGAAGGCGGCGAUCUGGGAAGAUACUGACGCUGAGGUGCGAAAGCGUGGGGAGCGAACGGG
rnacentral:rRNA from 1 species